rnacentral:rRNA from 1 species
GGCGGACGGGUGAGUAAUGUAUAGUUAAUCUGCCCUUUAGAGGGGGAUAACAGUUGGAAACGACUGCUAAUACCCCAUACUCCUUUUAUCUUAAUGAUAAUUGGGAAACGUUUUUUCGCUAAAGGAUGAGACUAUAUGGUAUCAGGUAGUUGGUAGGGUAAGAGCCUACCAAGCCAAUGACGCCUAGCUGGUCUGAGAGGAUGAUCAGCCACACUGGAACUGAGACACGGUUCAG